GAAUGAGUCACUCAACAUUUUCGAUAAAUAUAUAUAUCGAUGAUUACUAACUUUUCAAUCAUUACUUUUAAAUAACUAGCUUUUAUAAAGUGAACAAUUAUCAAAGUUGCUGUGCACAUAAUUAUUUCAUUAAAAUACCGAUAAUAAUAAACUGUUUCGAAAAUGGUAAAAAUUAUAAAUCAACUUUCGUCAAUUAUUUACAUUUCAUUAUUCGUCAUCACAAUAACCGCUGACGAUAAUUUUUAUCAAUGUACUCCAAUGUACGAAGAAUGUACAAGAGAAAUUCCAUGCUGUCAAUUCAAUCCACCUCGGGAUUUAGGGUGCGCUUUUGUUUCUAAUGUUGAGUGUGUGCAGAAUGUUGACUCCGGUGGAUUUAUGUGUAGGGAAAUAGUUGAUCCGGAUUUAUUACCUGGCAGUAAUCAAUAAAAAUGCGCGACUAGAGUCAGUCAGUCUCAUAUUGACAACUAAACAUCAGCACAUAUCUGUAUCUCAAUAAACUAUAUAUUGCUCUUGCUUUCUUUACUGCUGUUAAUUGUGGUGUUAUUCUUUCUAAUAUUCAGUGUGUUAUCAUUGUAGUGUA